GAUGAACGCUGGCGGCGUGCCUAAUACAUGCAAGUCGAGCGAACAGACGAGGAGCUUGCUCCUCUGACGUUAGCGGCGGACGGGUGAGUAACACGUGGAUAACCUACCUAUAAGACUGGGAUAACUUCGGGAAACCGGAGCUAAUACCGGAUAAUAUAUUGAACCGCAUGGUUCAAUAGUGAAAGACGGUUUUGCUGUCACUUAUAGAUGGAUCCGCGCCGCAUUAGCUAGUUGGUAAGGUAACGGCUUACCAAGGCAACGAUGCGUAGCCGACCUGAGAGGGGGAGUCGCCCCACUGGGACUGAGACACGGUCCAGACCCCUCAGGGGGGGAGCAGGUGGGAAUUUUUCCCCAAGGGCGCAAGCCCGGACGAGCCAACCCGCGGGGGGGAAGAAGGCCUUUCGGUUGUAAAACCCUUUUGUUUGGGAAAAAAAAAAGUUGGAAAAAACCACGCCGGUCUGACGGUUCCCAAAUAAGAAGCCCCGGCUAAAUUCGUG
rnacentral:rRNA from 1 species